CCUUUGUGUAAUAUUAAUAUCAACAUUUUUGUUUUAUAAAUAUCCAUACGUUAUAUUAAUGUACAUUCUUUAUACAAAUGUAGUGUUACCUAGAGAUACUUUUCAAGUUGUCUUUGCUUACGGAAAGCAGACACCGCCAGGCCAAAUGGAAGAACCAUGCAGAGAGAACAGAAGUCAAAUUCAGACAGACACUGACCAGCUAGAGAAUACUGCAGUAAAAACAGGAGGACUGUCAGUGAGGAAGAGGAUGCAGCAGCAGGUCGAGCCCACCCUCAAGCAUGGAUAGGAAUGCCAGGCAGGACUGCCUUGAGGAGGGUUGGUCAGUGGCCUGGGACUGGCAGCUGGCGCAGAGCGAGCAUCCUCUCACUAACAAUGCCUUUCAGUGACGAGCAGCAGUGGACGUGUGAAGUGCAGAGGCCCCGAAUCCCUCCUUCCCCUCAUAGCUCUCGUGAGUCCUGCUCAUGGCCUGGGCUGGGUUUUGGUGGCCCUGCAAACCACUGUGUGUGGAGAUCUCUUUUAAUUAGAGUGGAAGAAGGGAGCUCCUGGAUGGAGCUCAGGCUGUUCUGACUAGUGUCCUGAAAAGGGCACACUUCCAAAGUAGCCCCACAGCCCAGCAUUACAACAAAAUGCAAAGUAAGCAUUUGAAAAAUGAGUGUUUCCUCAUCCUUAAAGAUCAUUUCAUAAGAUGAAAGUGUAUUUGAAUGCAUCCUUUAUUCUGUGAACCUCUAAUCUCAAUUAAUUACUUCAUACCACAACCCAAUGAGUUGGGGAACUCUAUUUUAAGUGUUUUACAAAUAUUAACUUGUUAGUCAUUUAAGAAUGUAGUUGACACUCAUGAAUUAGUGUUUGUAAAACACAAUAAAAGGGAACAGAAAAAAAUUCGAAAUAUUAUCCCCAUUUUAUGUGGUAGGAAAAUGAGUCACAGAGAGCUUAAGAAACGUCACAGAGUUAAGAAAGAAGAUCACAGAGAUGAGAAGGAGGCUGAGAUGCACAGCUAGGCAGGCCUACUGGAGACACGAAGGCCUGGCUGUCUCCCUUUCCUGCCUCCUAAAAGAAGGACCAUCUCAUGACCAUGGUUCAUGGGGGCAAGAAUGCCAUUUUUCUUAGAUUUCCUUUUAUCUUUUGUAAAAUAAUGAGACUGAUUUUCAAAAUCUACACACUCCCUGACCAGAUUUGGAUUUACAUAAUCUUUAAAGUGAUGAAAUGUCCAUAUUAAAAUGUCAGGUUGCUCACCUGUAUUUGAUAUGGAUUCUCCAUUAAAAUGACAUAUAGGGGCUGGGGAUUUAGCUCAGUGAUGUAAGUACCUGCCUGACAAGCACAAGGUCAUGAGUUCAAUUCUCGAUAUCAAAAUAAUAAUAAUGAUAAUAAUUGAAAAUAAAGUGACAUAUAUAUCACAUACACAUCCUCAAAUGAUAAACUGCACAUGAGAGGAGACAACAGGGCAAGACAAAUGGGCCCAAUAGCAUGAUAGUCAGACCCAAGCACCUGCCAAGAAGACACUGAAGAAGGGCAGCUAAGAAGUUAGGUGGGGUUUUGAGAGACUCAUUACUCUGGUGGUGUCCUGCCCAGCAGACAGUGGGCUGUGUCAUUGUGCAGACCUUUUGGACUCCCAGUGUCUGGCCCUACCUCUUCUGCUACCUACUCUCUUCCUUUCCCGCCUGGCCUCAGCUCCCUCUCCCACUACUGCAGGAAACUAAAGAUUAAUUUUUCAGAAAAAAAAUGAAUCAAAUAUUGCCAAAAGAAUACACAUCUGAGGCUAGGGAGAGUCUACUACACUGUGUGGGAUCUGGGACCUUUGAUACCCUUCCAUAGCAGCCAAGCCUAUUACCACCUGCAGUCCCUACCAGGGAGGAUCUGAGAUCUAACAGUGAGUGUGUUUUGAAGAACUGAGCAAGCCUAAAGAAGAGACUACUGCAUACUGGACUGGGAAUGCAUUGAAAAGAACAUUUCUCCCUUGGAAACCUGCUGGUGAGUCCAUCUGUCAUCAAUCUCUGUCUCUUGGAUACAGCUCUUCAUAGGUUCACUGGGUGUGUCCCAUUUAAAUAUGAAAAGACAAACAAGAAAAACCAUCUCUAACAUGAGAGAUCAAUCAAACAAAGCAGCAAAACGUGGAAAAGGAAUGUCCUGGUGCUUAUCUUCUUAUGGUUCUAAGGACACUGUCACCAUGCCAGGAGGUUACUUAAAGUCAGGAUAACAUCUUGCUAAUAUUGGUCUAACAUUUCUUAAAUGAAGAUAUCUUUCUAUUAUGAGUUAUCUAUAUGUAAGUUUGUAAAAAUUUAAAUUAGAUUUAUUCAAAUUAACAAUAAGAUUAACUGAUUACUAUGUGAAAGUGCUAUUGUAAGUGUUUUACAAAUAUUAGCUUGUUAGUGAUUUAAGAAUGUUGUUGACACUCAUGAAUUAGUAUUUGUAAAACACAAUAAAAGGGAACAGAAAAAAAAUUCCAAAUAUUAUGUUUAAAAUUCAAAAAGAAGUCUGUAGCAGAGGAGAAGAUAAAAGAUGAAAAGAUUCUUGACAGCCGAAAACCCUCUCUACAGCAGUCUGUCUCCCCUCUGUGACAACCACCCCGACUCCCACCACUGGUCUCUCCCUUGCUGGAACCUUGCUCUGUCAGGCUUCUAGCACUAAACAAACGAGCGUUUGAUGUUAUAAAGGAAGACCUUCCCAGGAGGAAUGGUCGGUCUGUCUGUUUGUCUUUCUAUCUCUCUCUCUCUUAUAGCAAGAUGUUAUUUUGUCCCUAAGUCCCCUGGGACUGUGGCAGUCUUCUUGAAGCUGUAAGAAGUCAAGGCUAAGGACUCAACUAGUAACAUGGCAGAGAGGAAAGAGUAAUAAUGCCUGUGUCCUUGACAGCACCACUGGGCCAGUGGUUCGUCCACAGGGUCAUGGGAAGACCUGAGGGUAUGGCUUCUGGGUCAUAAGUCUGAAGUUUGGGUGGAGGAGACAGCCUUGUCAGGAAAGAGGAAGUGAUGCUGUUUGAGGUUCUGGGGAGCACAACAUUAUAUAGUUCAUUCCCUCCACAAAUAGUUGUACUGUGUUUCAGGCCUGACUAUAGGUGACAAGGAAACAACAGUGAACAAUACCUAUUCCUUACUAUACUGCAGUCUGAAUCUAAAUAGAACAAACAGAAAAUUGAAAAUAACACAAGAAAGUAUAAAAUAUGUCAAAAAGUGGAAAGCACGAUGCAAGAAAAUAAGCCUGGAGAAAUCUAAUGCACUGGAUGGAGCUGGGGCAGUGAUCAGGGAAAACAGCCUCUAAGUGGGGCCCAUCUGAGGCAAAGAUUUCAAGGACUCAAGAGACCAAACCUUGAGGGUAGAGGAAGUCAGCUACAGGAGGAGGAAAUGGGCAGGCACUGUGGCCCUUAGAGGGAAAUGUGCCCCACACAUGUGAAGAAAAGCAAAAGCAGCCAGAGAAGAGCAAGUUAUGCAAAACUAACAGAGAUGACUAGAAAAGCAAAGGAGGAAAAACACUGUGGAGUGUGGCAGGCGAUGGGUGGGCUCUGCCUUUUGCUCGGAUGAGUGGGAAGGCCUUUUGAGCAGCAAUAGAACAUGAGCUCGUACCAGACAUAGUAGGUCGGAAGCUUCAUUCCUCUGUAUCAUUUGGAGGUCUUCCACCCAGAUCACUGCACCGAGGUGAGAGUUUGAUUUUGCUUCAUAGACUCUGAAUUGGGACUCAUUUAGGUAACAAAUUAUUUGCUUCAAAUUUUGCUUUGUCUUUGCCAGUUGUUUAUAACUACUUGUGAUAAUUGCUUGCUAUUUGCCCAUUGUGUUUGAUUGCCUAAACAGUUCCCAUCCCCCUAGGGAAGAGUCACGGCUCCUUAAGAAUGCCUGCUUUCUACAUGACUCGCUUCCCCAUUUGUCCCUAAUGUUAUCAACUUUACCUGAACUAUCGAUCUUAUUGGCUAACUAUAGUUAUGUUCCACCUUAUGCCCAUCUGCCUUGUGAAUUCCCAGUCUUCCCCCACCUUGAACCCGUGGUUUUACUCGAUAAAAGUCCCUAAAAAAGAUGGAGGCCUUCACAACCCACUCGGGACCCCUUUUGUCUCUCUUCAGACAGCAGCUUUCUAUGUCUCAAUAAAUAUAUUCUACUCUUAAAAAAACAAGAAGAGCUCCAAAUCAUGCUGCCUUGUCACUUCGUUAUUUGGCAGCACGGUACCCUCCUCUCUUAGCUAAGCCAACUUGGAAUCUACAACGGGCAGCUAACUAGGCCUCCCUCUGUUUCACCAGGUCCUCUACUAGUAACUCUUCUUGGGAAAGUGGGCAGUGUGAGACAAGUGAAUCUGCUCUCCAUAAAAAUAAUUCCAAAGGCAAUUGGGGCUCUUAGAAUUUUUUCAAGCCAUAUUUGACAUCACUCAUACCUUAUUUAAUGAAAAAAGACUGUAUCAUAUUCAAUGUUAAAAUACUGUAAAUGGAAUUUUCAUUAUUAUAAUAACUAUGUGUAGCUUUCAAUUUAGAAAAGGGAAGCCUUAACCUAGGUAUGGUGGUGCACAUCUACAGCAAGUAAGUUUGAGGCCAGCCUGGACUACAUAGGAAGAUAUUGUGUUAAAAAAAAAAUAAAAAUAAAAAAGAGGGGCCCUUCAGAAGGUUCUGAGUGGAAAAGGGACAUUAUUUGGUGUCUGGUUUCAAAGGGUUGUUUGGGGUGCUGUGUUUAGGAUAGAACAGAGCUGCACGAGCAGACCCGGAGAGGUUGCUGAUGGGCCCAGAAGUGGGACCGAUGGAGAAGUGUCAGAUUCUGAAUACAUUGUAAGGUAAAACUGGGAGGAAUGAAUGGACAGUGAAAAAGAAUGAAAGAUAUUGAGGAUGACUUCAAAUUUUGGGGCAAAGACACUAAUUAGGAGAAAAUACUUUUAGAGAUAAGUGCCCAAAGUGUAACUCAACUCGCUUAGUUUAUUUCAAAGCACCAACACUGCAAUUCAAUCUGAAUACUGAGAUGAGAGUUUAGAAAAAAUAACCCAUACGUUGCCAUCUUUUGUCUUAAAAGGAAAACAAAUAUCACACAUGCCAUAGUUUUGCAACCUCUGCUCUAAGCCAUGUACCUCCACACCUACAAAAUGGGGGUCACAGUUCCUGAUUCAGUGACUCUUUAGUUUGAAAAAUUAUGCAUAAUAACAAUUCUUGUCAGUUUAUCUAGCAACUAUUUCCAUUUUCGUUUAAUGGAAUCUAAUGUUGGUUUUUAUUUUGUAAAAUACACUUUCAUAGUGAAAUAAGUGGGCUUAAAUUAUUUACUAGGCUUAUAUUUUUGUAUACUGUAUUAGAUUUUAUUAAAAUGGAUGAACCUAUAGCCACACAUUCCUGAAGAGAGAAGAAUGCUUGCUGUCACAGUGACAGCCAGAAAUUCUAGGUUUUUAGUUGAUUUAUAUUCAACUAAUAUUGAUGACAGUUUCAGUGAUACUAAAUGCUACUAUGUCAGUAGCCUUUUGAUUUGGAAUCAUUAACUGCACUAUACACAGAAUGAACUAAAAAUUUAUGUGUUGUUAGAUGACUAUUUCACGGUCACCCAAAUUGUAAAAUGAAAAUGAAGCCUUAGGUUCCCUGGCUUUAAAUGCACUAUUCUUUCUUCAUCUGUUAUGGUUUGUGUCUAAAUGUCCCCCUAAGGCUUUGGGGGGACAUAGGGGUUUUUCUUUGGAGAUGGUUGAAUCUAGAGGUGUGACUGAUUUACGGUGUAAUGCUGAGAUUAAGGGCAGGCUGGAUCCAUCCACUGACUGGAUUGGCGCCAACCUAAUCCCAGUAAACUGGACAAAUAUAAGAGACAGAAAGAGGCUUGUCUCUGUCAGCCUGUCUGUCUCCCUCCCUGCCUGCUUUUGCUGUCUUCGGUGUAUCAUGAAUUGCUGUCCUCUGUGAAAUGACCUUGUCUUGAAGCCAGCCAGUUAUGGACUGAAACAUUUACAAACUGUGAGCUAAGUAAACCUUUCCCUCAUUAAGUGGAUGUUGUGCAUUUUGUCCUAGCAGUGAGAAAAGUAACCAAGACAUCUUCCAAAGCCACCUUCUUCCUAUAGUUUGUAAAACAGAUACCCGUUGUGAAGACCGUGACUAGUUUUCAUUUGCUGAAUCCUCAACUCCCACUAUCAUUCAGCUUAUCAGAUAAGUUUAGGUAUGGAUUUCAUCAGGUUAAGUCUGCACAGAAACAGCAAUGUCAGGAAGGUCUGCCAGUGGUCCCUAAAGAGGUGUGCUUCUAAAUUGACAAUUGACUGGUACCAUUUAAGUACUAAAGGCUUCAUGGACUUGGAUCAGGAAGUGAGAUGAAACAAAGCAUAUUUUUUAACACUUCUUCUUAUGGAAGAACCCUUGAAGUUUAAAUCUAGUACCAGGUGUAGCACGUUAGUCUUUCAGUGUUCAAAGAAAGGGACUUUUUCUACCUCUCAACAAAGGUAUGAGAAUUAAGAAGAAAUAUAUGUGCAGCAUUUGAAAACUUACCCAUUGAACUAACAUUGUUAGGAAGUCUGGCAUUAGUGGUUCUGCUAGAUCUUGUGAAUUUUAGGGGGAAAUGACUUAAACUCAAUGCUGGCCUUAAAAGGGACCGAUAGUCUUGUAAGAGAAACUAGAGGGCAAGCAAAUGAAUCCUGAAUUCUGUGACAAUGGAUAAUGAAUGUUUUUAUAAUAAAAUGAUAACUGUGUUCUAGAUGCCUACUAAAACUGCAUUCUCUUUCUAAUGUUUGAGGUAGAUUCCAUUUUGUUUGGGUGCUGUGGAUUGAGCUCAGAAAGUAUGCAUGCUGAACAGGCACUCUACCACUGAGCUAUAUCCCAGGAAGGUAGACAUUCUUCUUCCCACCUAACAUUUGAUGUAACAAAGGCCCAGAAAACGUGUGUGCCUUGGUCAAGGUUGAUCAUCCCAGAAUGGUAAUUGAUAUUCAAAACAGCUGCCCUCAUCUCCACAUACUCACCAGAACCAGGAUCUCCUGGGGGUUUUCUUGAAGCAACUAGAAUAAAAGAUCCUGUUUGGAGAAGGGGUGCCAUGGUUAAUUGAGUGGUGUGGUGGCGAUUGUGUCAAUUUGGCUACGAGGGCACUGGUGGCGCGCUCUUAUGGGUGUGUCUGGGUAGGUGAUGGAGGCGUCAGUUUGGGUGUCUUGUCUGAUUCUCUGCUGUCCCCUGCUCCACUUCGCUGAUUCCAGGAGCUAAGAGCUUUGCUGUGCCACACUUUUCCACCACGAUGUCCCUGCCUUGGAGCCAGUGGAUCCUGUACUAAAUUCCCUGAAACUGUGUAUUCAAUGAAACCUCUCCUCCUUCAAGUGGUGGGUACUGGGGUCUGUGUCCCCAAAAUGGGAAAGCUAAUGUGAGGAGUUAACUCCAAAUACACAGUCCCUGCUUCUAUACUGGAUCUCAGUGACCAAGGCUGAAGAUGAAGUAGGUCUGGCAUCUAAUGAGGUCACAGUAGACCAUGGAAGUUUCCAGCACUCAGCCCCUCAAGCCCUGGCUAUGCCAGCUGUUAGAGGGAGAAAAAAAUCUAGACAUUCUGGUGCUUGAUGAUGUACCUCUUGUUACUUGAGACUGUGAAAACAUGAAAUUAUGUAAUGCUAAUUAAAGUACAAUGUGGCAGAACAGUUCCUUAUAAAAGACUAAAAAUAUAUUCAGUUAAAUGCAGUGAAACAAAACUUGACUGGGAUCUUCUGUGUUGCAGUGAUGGGAGCAGAAAGCACCAUGCAGCUCUGGGCUUCAGAGAAUUUUGCUGUGAAUGUAGCAAUACUUGGUGAAACUACUAUAAAAGGCCCUAUUCAACAUUCAUUUUAAAUGUCUUGGAUCAUAUCCUAGAAAGUAAUGUCUUCAAGUAAAAUUUUCCCACAUUUAAUGUUCCAAACACUUGAUUGCUAGAAAACUCUAUUAAGAAAUUUUACUGAAAAAUCAAACUUUUAGGACAAAGGUCAUGACAUUUUGUUGCCUGGCUCCAGAAUGAAAUAAUCUCUUAUUCUGGGUUCUCUGUUUAUACUGGGUUAGAAUACUUCACUUUGAAAUGAAUUUGGUUGUAGUUUUAAAAUAAAAAAGGACGUAAAGAAAACAGCCCCAAAUAUUUUUGUUGUUGUUAGACAUUACUUUUGAAAGAAUUUGAUUUUUUUCAGUAUUAAUGGUAAAGCAAUACUUAGAACUCGAGUAAAGGGUAAUAAUUCCAAAAAAAUGAUUAUAUUGCAUUUCAGUAGAAAUUCUACUUCUUACAACUCGCUCUAUCUCAGUCUCAGUCUCUAUUUCCUGAGUAAUGUUCCAUUUUUAUACUUAGCUAUGAUAUCUUAUUUUUCUAUAAUAUGUUCAUAUGACUUUUACUUUCAAGGAAGUCAAACAUAAGCUGAUUUACAUCCUGAGUUGAUACAUCUGUCUGUCUACAUUCCAAACAAAUGGAGAUCCAAGAAAAGGGCUAAGGCGUGCCGUCUCCGCCGCUGUGCUCUUAGGGCCCACGCCUUUCAAAACCAGAGCCUGCCAUCUCAGGAGGGAGCGGCGCCCAGGCCUCCAGCAAGCUGUCCGUGAUGUAGAACUCAAGAGACCAGACAGACCUCAGGAGGAACAGGAGGCUUGAUUUGGUUUUAGGUGAACACCAGUUCAGCAGUUCAGUUCAGCAGUUCAGACUCUUGUCCAAAACACUGAGCCCCAAACAAAGAAAGGCCCCAGGUUCGUCUUGUUGCUGAGGAUUGGCCUAGCAGCAUGUUACUGGGAAGGCAAACAAAGCAAAGCGGUUGGCUGAAGUGUGAGACCAGUGACCAUGGUCAGGUAUAACAGGGUGUUAGGGGAACAGAGGUUAUGAACAUUAUUCACAGAGUCACUGCUUCUAUCUGUAUCAGAACAAAGAACAACAGUUAUAGGGAGGGGGAUAUUUGGGAAAACGCAGCGUUUUCUUUUCAGGUCCUGCUUCUGCUGUUCUCCUGAGGAAAAUCUAUGUGUGGGUUUUGUGACCAUAAAGUUGUCCACGUGAAAUGAGAUCUUGUAGUAAUUUACUUUUUAUUUCCUUGAUAAAUUAAAAUGUUUCAGUUAACCAUCCCUUAGCAGAAAUGCCAAAGACAUUAAACAAUUACAAACAGCAUUCUGUAUUCACUUCUGUGGGGUCUGUACUGUGCCCAGGUAUCAAAGAAAAUACUGUCUUUGUUCCACAGAGUAAGAUACAUUCACUCAUUCAUACAAGCCAUUUGCAGACAUAAGUAUACCUUGUUUGUGUCUACGAAUGUGUGUGUGUGUUCAGUAAGAAUCCAAAUCAUAUCACACUUCUUUAAUUCUUAGUGUUUCUCUAUAUUCAGUCCAUGAGGAUGCUCUCAGAUAGACAGACCUGCCCUCUCUCAGAUUCAUAGAGUGCUUGGCAGCAUCAGUGCCAUCUGAACCUCCCAUUAAGUGUUUACACAAAGCAUGGGGCCAGAUGGGAUCAACCUCCAUUGAUCUUUCGGAGCUGAGUGCUAACCACACUGAAGAAGGCAGGAUGGGACCUGCCAUGCAGCCAAGAGAAGAUGGGGAUAUGCAAAAACAGCACCCCCAGCUGCAUACCACACCAGGGACAGGAGGGAGCAGAGUCUUAAACGGACAUGGCUUAUGCAUGGACAGCGAGAGAAAGCAAACCUGUCGAGAGGAGCCUGGUAUGCAAAAAACGGUUGUCCCUGUCACUCUGGGUACAGAGGACAGGAGUCCACAGGAGGAUGUUAAGCAAGGAAUUGGUACAAUCUGUUUGCAUCAUAGAAACUCUUCUGAGACGCAGAAGAGUCUAAAGAUGGGAAAGUCUUUUUGGAGUCUGUUGCAGUAGUCGGGGUCAUCUGAACUAAGGCCAAGAUGGAGGAACGGCAGACACAUGCAGUGGGCUUACUUUGGGACACUGUGGAAACACAAUGAAGCCAGAUGGGAAGAUCAUUUAAUUUUAAUUUUAGGAACAUCAUUUUUGGCUGCUAAGUGGGUAUAAGUACACCACUUUAAAAAUUAAAAACAGGAUGAAAUGAGACACUUGCACUCUUACACUCUUCAGAUCUCUUUGGUUUUGGAGAGUUUGUUUUUGUUUUUGCUUUUGUCUUGUCUAUUUGAAACAAGGUCUCAGGCUGGGCUUGAACUUACUAUGGAGCCCAAGCUGGCUGUGAACUUUACAACAAUCUUCCUGCCUCAACCUCUGAAGCACUAGGAUUACAGGUAUGCUACCAUAUCUGACUCCUUAAGAUCUCCUAUUAAGGGGCUGGGGAUUUAGCUCAGCGGCAUAAGCACCUGCCUUGCAAGCAGGCGGUCGUGAGUUCGAUCCCCGGUACCGAUAAAAAUGAAAAAGACAAAAAAAAAAAAGAUCUCCUGUUAAAUGUCACCUUAUCAGAGAUUAUCUGAGGUAGUAUCUUACAUCUUUUCUUUCUCUAAUACUGUUAUUAUUUUCUUGAUAGGAUUGAUCACCAUAUGUAAUCAUUUAUGUAUGUAUUGCCUCUCUUCAUUAAAAUACAAGGUCCAGGCCAGGGAUUUCGCUCAGCAGCGUAAGUGUCUGCCUGGCAAACACUAGGUCAUGAGUUUGAUCCCUGGUACAAAAAAAAAAAAAAAAAGAAAAGAAAAGAAAAUACAAGGUCCAGGAAAAUACUUAGUUUUGUUCAAUGUCCCCAGAACUUAAAAGAGUGUCCAGUGCAUAGUAGUAUAUUACAAAUACUUUUAUCUGAAUGACUAAUAUAAAAUGACAGGUACAUGAGUCCUGUCAUCCUAUCUGUCCAUCUAUCUAUCACCUCUGUGUAUCUACCUAUCCAUCCAUCUGCCUGAUCAAAGGAGUUACAGUAGUAGUGAUAACGUUACUAAGACUAAUAGUAGUUGAUUUACUACUAACUAUUCAAGUCUACAGCAAUACCACCCUGAACGCAACUGGUUUCAUCUAACUAUUCAAACACCAUGUAAAUGACUUUUCUUUCUUUCUUUUUUGUAAAUGACUUUUAUAGCUUUCUUAUUUUGUCAGAAUGUUAUGAGAUAAACAGUCAAUAUUACUAAUUCUUUUAGGUGAUUAAAUUAAUAGGUAACAACAUAGUUGAUGAAAGGAAGAGAAGAAAUAUUUAUGACUCAUGGUUUCUGGCAGAGGCAUUUAAUAGAUGGAUGAGCCAUUACUGAGAUAAGGAGCACAAAAGAAAGAAACCAUCCAGCAGGAAAAGAUAGCAGAUACUUUUGUGCAUACUGAGCUGGAAGGAUCAUUGGAUAACUAUGGAGAUUUCUAGCACGUCAUUAGGAGCGUGAACCUUGGCACUGCAGGGACAUCUUGGCAAGAGAUAAAAAUAAUGAGUCACUUGCAUGCAGGUAGAAACUGAUACUGUGGAGGCUACUGACUAUGAAAUCGAGGUGAAGCAGAGGAGACUUCAAUUAUUUCCACAGAAGGUUGUGGGGGCUAAGGAUGAGGAGCCCCUAUAUUAGGGAAACAAUCAAGGAAGAGUGGCCUCUGUAAACCAGCCUAGUCUUUUGUGGGUACUUCUAGGAUAGAUGGAGAUCCCUGAAGUUCAUGUGUUGUUAGGAAGAUUCUUGAAGAGAAGUGUGUGAACCAGGAAGCCAGAGAAAGAUGAUCCAAGAGGCAGCAAAGAAGCUGACCAUUUCCCUGGACCUGAAGGUCCUGGUCCUCUGCGCAGCUGAUUGACUCACCCCCCUGACUCUAUAAAAAAAAAAAUACCCUGACGACAAGACGUGGCCCACCACAUGGAAAGUACUGAAAAAUGCUGUUAUCAACUGAAGUUGUGAAAGUCACAGAUUGGCUCUGGGGACCCUGCUGUUCCUGCUGUGAACCUGACUGUUAUUUCAUACACUCCAGUACUUUCUCAGGGCUUCCAAAUGCCCCUCUGACCAGAGAGGUUAAGGAACAAACUAAAACCAGCUCUCAGUGUCAGAAGCUCAGCUUAGUGAACCCUGGGACUUUGAAGAAGGCUCUGGACAGAGGUGACCUCUUGUAUUUAAGAACUUCUGAGCACCCACGGCUGACCUUUGCCCACCCCGACCCUGUGAUACUAGGCAUUUCACCUGUACCUCUCAGCCCUUUGUUUUUUGCUUUGAGACACGAUUUCACUAAGUCAUUAAAUUACCUACACUGGGCUAGAACUUGCAACCCUCCUGACUCAACCUCUCAGAGAGCAGAUAUUACAAGCAUGCACCCCCAUGCCUUGUUCUGAGCCCCUAUUUUCCAAUAUCAAAAGCCCUUUCUGCACAUAUGCUGAGGAUUUCACUUAGGCUGGGGCUGUGUCAGCAUACGAAAAGAAAAAAGAAAAACUAUUUUUUUAUUUUUAUAUUAAAUAUAUGCUGCAUAACUUCUGGUGGCCUUAAAAUUAUUGUGUGAAAGAAAUUUUAAUAUGCUAGGGUUUAUAAUAAAAUCAUUAUUACUGUUGUAA